AAGGAUAUUGCCAAACCCGUUGCAAGGCGGGGACGGAAAGCCACGGAUCCCAUGCGGACAGCCGGGUUGCCUUUC
rnacentral:ncRNA from 1 species